UGAAUGAGUGGAAUCAGUGACUCAGACAAAGCCACUGUUGCACAACUGUAUGCAUGCACAGUGAACUCUGCAGACUCUGCAGAUGGUUCCUGUAAAUAGCGCUUAAAACCACAGUGGAAAAGCCACAUGCUCCUGAUACACUUGGGGGGACAUAAAGGGAAACCCACACACCCAAGGAGGAGGGCUCUGGCCAUGCAAGGCUGAAGGCCCAGUGUACUGAUAUGAAAACUGAAGCUCAGACAGAAGAGGCGACGUUGCUUUCUUAACCACUGGAUUUGCAGUGCUGUGGUUCUCAGAAGAGGCCAGGACAGGUUAAUCCACUCACUUGGGAGGCAGCCGGUGCAGAGCUGAGAAUUUACCCCAGGCUACCAGCCUUCCGGCUGAGAGAGCAAGCUGACGCACGGUUCCUCAGCUGUCCCAUGGAGCCUGUUGCGGCCAUCCACCUCCUUCAAAGGAAGGAAAUCUUUCCAUAUCACCCAGGCUGAUCUUCAACGAACUGGACUCAAGUAUUCCUCCCACCUCGGCCUCCAGGGGGGACUGUUUGACGCCAGAGUGGAGACGGUCAGGCAGCCACUCGGGCCUUGGAAGCAAAGUCAAAAGUUGAAUGUACAGCUGGUAUAAAAAUGGUGCUUUGUCGUCAUGAAGAAGGUGUAUUCUGGGAUCAAACCACCUGGCUGGAGAUGCUUACUAACCUCAGUUUCUUCAUCUGACCUUACCUUUCUAAAAGAAUAAGAAGAAGAUGAUACAUAUUCCUCUAAAGUCCCAACAGGAACCUUUUCCCCUCACUCCCUCCCCAGAGAUGUGUAUCAUUUCCAUGAGUGUCUGUACUUUUACAACAUGUGCAUAUUAAUAAACAAAAUAUGACAAAUUAUUUUGUCUUAAUAUUUGCAUAAAUCUAGCCAUACUCUACACCACUUUUGCAACUUUCACUAUUAUAUAUUUUGAAGAUUAUCCGUGUUUAUGCACAUAAGUUUAUCAUUUUAACUGUUGAAUAGUGUUUCAUUAUAUGAAUUAACCAUAAUUCAUCUAUUUCCCUGAGUGACAAUUAGGUUUCUUUUUGUUUUUAUGCUCUGAUGAACAAUCUUGCAAUUAUUAUCUUUGUAUAUGUCUUCAUGUAUAAGAAAUUCUCCAGGGUAGACACUUAGAAGUAAAGGGUCUGACUCAGAGAGUCUGUGUAUUUUAAAAUGUAUUGGUUAUUGUCAAAUUGUUCCUCAAAGUAGAUGUACCAAUUUACAUUCCUACAGUGGUAUAUAACAGUUUUUUUUUCUCCACAUCCUCUUCAACACUCGUCAUUACCAG
rnacentral:lncRNA from 1 species